CAUAUUCUUCUGUGCUACAUGAUUUAUCAUUGUUUUCCAAAUUAAGAAGCAUGUGCACAUGUGGCAAUAUCCUCUUUUAUGGAAUUCUGUAACAUACAUGUAGCUCUUCACAUUCCCCAAGGCGCCUUUAUCAAUGACAUCAACCCUCAAUUGUUGGAGUUCAGAAAUGAUUUCACUCCAAUAUGGAUUACAUGUCAUUGUAAGGAAAAUGUUUAGUUUGUCAUCGUUAAGUACAAUUUCCAUACCAUCUUCAUAACGCUGAGUCAAGUCUCGACGAAUUCCAAUGAAGGAUGAUGAUAAUAUAGUUUGUUGUCCAACAUUUGCUGUAAUAAAAAAAUGAUUGUAUCCUAAAGUUGGCGGCGAUAUCGGUGGAACUUGUGAAGUUGCCAAGAAUCAAACCUAAC